AACAUUAGUGGUCCAACAUGAUUUAACCUCUUAAAUACAAAGCGAAUAAACUAGCAUGUUACGUUAUAAGCCUGAGAAACGAAACUGAACGAAUAAGAAGCCAACUUCAGCCUUGUUAAUUUCUCUGCAUCGUAGUGUAAAUUGAUGAAACUGGUAUCGGGUGGUUGGUACAGGGAUUGAGUUGUCAUUGGCAGUACUUUACCAGACUUUAAAAGGGCCAGAAGUUGUUGACUUCUUGAAAACUAAAAGAGAGCAAUAAAGGAAGAAUAGAGAUGUAGACUGGUUGCUGUGCCAUGAUGGAAAGAGUAAUUUUACUGCCGUUAAAUGUUCGUCCACUUUUGACUGUGUGUAUAUAUAUUAUUUUGUAGUUGCCAACAUAAAAUGUGAUCUGGAUGGCAACCUCCAUAAACAUGGCUGUGUCUGCAGAUUUCUCAAUAUUUGAAACUAACUUUCUUAACCACUCACAAAUGUUUGCCAUUUACAAAACAUCUGGCAAAAACAAAAUAAUUUUUGAAUUCCCUUAGUGGAUAUAAUUGUCAGCUGAUGUGAAUUUCCAAGAAGGUCAGAUUUUUUAUUUGUCCUGGAUGAUGAUGUUGUUUACUUAUUGCAAGCAUGUGAUGGUCAACACAAGAGAUUGAACUCAAUAUAUUCAACUAAUAUACAAGUUUCUUAGUCAUUAUACAUAGACCAGUUUUUGUACU
rnacentral:misc_RNA from 1 species